AGCAGCCGCGGUAAUUCCAGCUCCAAUAGCGUAUAUUAAAGUUGUUGCAGUUAAAAAGCUCGUAGUUGAAUUUCGGGAUCAACACGUCGGUCGUGCCUUCGGUACGCACUAGCGUCGUUGGUUCCUCCCUUCUGACGAACCAUGAUGUCAUUAACUUGGUGUUUUGGGGAGUUAGGACUGUUACUUUGAAAAAAUUAGAGUGUUUAAAGCAGGCAAUCGCUUGAAUACAUUAGCAUGGAAUGAUGAAAUAGGACGUUCGAUCCUAUUUCGUUGGUUUCUAGGAUCAACGUAAUGAUUAAUAGGGAUAGUUGGGGGCAUUAGUAUUCAAUUGUCAGAGGUGAAAUUCUUGGAUUUAUUGAAGACUAACUACUGCGAAAGCAUUUGCCAAGGAUGUUUUCAUUAAUCAAGAACGAAAGUUAGGGGAUCGAAGACGAUCAGAUACCGUCGUAGUCUUAACCAUAAACUAUGCCGACUAGGGAUCGGAUGAUGUUAAUUUUUAAUGACUCAUUCGGCGCCUUAC
rnacentral:rRNA from 1 species